rnacentral:tRNA from 1 species
GGCCCGUUCGUCUAGUGGUUAGGACUCAUGGUUUUCAUCCAUGCAACAGGGGUUCGAUCCCCCUACGGGCUA